GAUGAACGCUGGCGGCGUGCCUAAUACAUGCAAGUCGAGCGAACGGACGAGAAGCUUGCUUCUCUGAUGUUAGCGGCGGACGGGUGAGUAACACGUGGAUAACCUACCUAUAAGACUGGGAUAACUUCGGGAAACCGGAGCUAAUACCGGAUAAUAUUUUGAACCGCAUGGUUCAAAAGUGAAAGACGGUCUUGCUGUCACUUAUAGAUGGAUCCGCGCUGCAUUAGCUAGUUGGUAAGGUAACGGCUUACCAAGGCAACGAUGCAUAGCCGACCUGAGAGGGUGAUCGGCCACACUGGAACUGAGACACGGCCCACACUCCUACGGGAGGCAGCAGUAGGGAAUCUUCCGGAAAGGGCGAAAGCCGGACGGAGCAACGCCGCGUGAGUGAUGAAGGUCUUCGGAUCGUAAAACUCUGUUAUUAGGGAAGAACAUAUGUGUAAGUAACUGUGCACAUCUUGACGGUACCUAAUCAGAAAGCCACGGCUAACUACGUG
rnacentral:rRNA from 1 species